AAGGGAGUGUGUGCUGGUGUAAGUAUUAUAAAUUUGCUUUAAUACUUAAAGCAAAGCAAUAAUACUUAUUGCUUAUUAUUUAUUUAUUUAUUAGCAUUUUGUCGGCGGGGAUGGGCCAACAGCGUCCCAUCCUUAUCCGACACCAGCAGACGGAGCGCGAGUGCAUAAAGCUAGGCGCGCACGAAAAAGAGCAUCGGAAAGUGCAAGUAGGCAGGACAGCAAAGACAAGAGACCAUCGAUUAGAGCAGAGAGCUUGGAUACCUACGAUGCUGCAGAAAACAAUGAUGCAGACAAAGGGAUAGAGGUGCAAACAGAUGAACAUUGGAUUUCGCCGCUGGAUAUGCUUGCAGUGACUGCAGAGUUGGAAAUGGCAAAAACUGAAAUCAGUCGCUUACAAGCAAAAGUGGAAAAUUUAGAAACAGAGCUACAGAAAGAACAGAAACGAAAACUGUUUGGUAUUGAUGCUGUUGUUGAAUCUGAGAAGAACAGCAAAAAAAAUCUGUGUGUAUAUUAUACAGGACUUACAUUAGUCCGUUUCAUGUCACUAUUUACAUUUCUCUUGCCAAAGAGGGAGACUUUGACUUAUG